GACGAACGCUGGCGGCGUGCUUAACACAUGCAAGUCGAACGGAAAGGCCCUGCUUUUGUGGGGUACUCGAGUGGCGAACGGGUGAGUAACACGUGAGUAACCUGCCCUUGACUUUGGGAUAACUUCAGGAAACUGGGGCUAAUACCGGAUAGGAGCUCCUGCUGCAUGGUGGGGGUUGGAAAGUUUCGGCGGUUGGGGAUGGACUCGCGGCUUAUCAGCUUGUUGGUGGGGUAGUGGCUUACCAAGGCUUUGACGGGUAGCCGGCCUGAGAGGGUGACCGGCCACAUUGGGACUGAGAUACGGCCCAGACUCCUACGGGAGGCAGCAGUGGGGAAUAUUGCACAAUGGGCGGAAGCCUGAUGCAGCAACGCCGCGUGCGGGAUGACGGCCUUCGGGUUGUAAACCGCUUUCGCCUGUGACGAAGCGUGAGUGACGGUAAUGGGUAAAGAAGCACCGGCUAACUACGU
rnacentral:rRNA from 1 species